CUGCUGAUUUUUUGUUUCUCAUUUGACUUAUUUGAUUCUUUGUUUCAAUUAGCAUUAAUCAUUGGUUGACCUAUUUAAUAUUUGUUAAUUGUGUAUCACUCAACUGUCGUCCACAUGUGAUGAUAAAUAGAAAUAUUGGUAGACUUGAUAUAUGGAAAAUUAUUAUUUUGUAUUAAAACUAAGCCAUGUGUAGUCUUAGAUUAUUACUUUACACCGAGAAAAUCAUGUUGUCUGACAAAUAAAUGUCUUUUUGGUCUCUUUGGGAAAGGAAAAAAAAAAAAAAAACAAUAAGAACCAAUAAUAUGAAGUUAAAACAAGUGAUAAGCUCUUUGGCAUUGAGGGUUUGGAAAGAAAUGUUAAAGAAAUAGUGGAUACAUGAAAGAUAUCGAGUUUUAGUGACAAUCUUUUAAACUUUUUUGUUUUAGAGGGCUGAUCCUGUGUUAAUGUUUAAAUAUGAUGGCAUUUGAUAGCAAACUACUAGUUCAGUUUUUUAUUAGGUAGCUUUUAUUAGGCUAUAUAAUGUUUUUUGCAUUGAGAUAUGACAUAUGUCAAAUUAAUUAUUAUUGUUAAGGGUGUGCAAAGGUUCAAACUCUAUUUGAUAUCCAGAUUUUUUUUCCAUUGGUCACAUAUCUAAGGAUGGAAAAUGUACCUUUUUUUCUUUUUGAUUUAUCAAAUUUGAGUUUUUUUAUUUUAUUAUUAUUUUUUUGCUUAUUUGGUAGGUCUGAGUCUAUACUUGUACAGAAAGUGGUCGAAAAUAUUUUGGAGAUAUUGAAUGAGGAAUCUCUUCCAAUUGAAAACAAGAACCUAGUUGGAGUAGAUUCUAGAAUCGAGUAUAUUGAAUGGCAACUAUUCAUUGGGUUUCCUGGUCUUCGCAAGAUAGGAAUUUGGGGUAGUGGUGGAAUAGGUGAGACCACACUUGCUGGUGCUGUAUUCAAUAAAAUCUCUAGACAUUUUGAAAGCUCUUACUUUGUUAAAAAUAUUAGAGAAGAAUCAGAGAAAAGCAAGGGACUAAUUAAGUUGCACAAACAACUUAUUUGUGCAAUUUUAAGGAUAAACAUACCAAUAUAGGGUCCUCCUUCAUCAGAAAAAGGCUUGCCUGCUAGAAAGUUGUCAUUGUUUUUGAUGAUAUGACAGAUGUAAAGCAAAUAGAAUAUUUAUUGGAAAUUUUGAGUAUUUUGGUUCUAGAAGUCGAUUCAUGAUAAUGACAAGAGAUAAACGAGUAUUAGAAAAAUGUGAAGUGGAUUACAUAUAUGAGAUUGGAAUAUUAUUUGAUGAUGUUAGCUUUGGAAUUGUUUAGUCGAUACGCCUUUAGACAAAACCUUCCCCCAAAAGAUUUUACAGUUUUCCAAAUUUGUUACUGAAUGGAACUGACGCAGGCUUGCAGGUCCUAAAAGAAGCGAGUAUCACUUGAGUGAAACUUGGAGGUUGAAAUCUUCUUAUAUAAAAGGUAACUUAGGUUCAAACCCAUGAGCUUAUUAUAGUAGGUUGGAACAAGUUGAUAGGAUAACCUUUUACAUCCCCAUAUCUCUCCAAUGGUAAAAUGUAAAAAAAUGACUUAUGCAAAUUCUGCGCAGCGUGUUAGGAAAUUCAAGGCUUUGCACUCCAUCAUUUAUGGGGUUUCUUGUUUGCCUGAUCUAGAAGAUAUGCCAAAUCUUGGAACUCUCUAUGGUAUUCUGUAUAGUUGUGGUGGUGUCCUGCAUAAUAGUUCAAUGGUUUCAAGGUAAAGUUUACAUUUUGUUGCCUUCUGAAGCUAGCUUUCUGCAAUUUAUAUUGGUCAUUAUAUUUGGUUUGUCUUGUUUUGCAUUACUAUAUAUUUGGGUGAAUCCAUGCCAUGCCCUCUAUGUUCUGCAAUUUGAAGUGCUAUUAUUACUUAAUAUCAAGCAUUCAUCUGGUGAAGGCAUAGUCAUCUUUUUUCUUUCAUAUAAAAAACUCAUUGCCUCAGUGUGUGAGGGACAUUUGAUAAUUUCUUCUCUGAGGAGGAUAAAAGGCCAAAUUGAGGCAGCAGCCCAUCCCAUGCAUAUUGUGUUACAUCAGAUGACUGAAAGGAAAGCAAAAAGCUGCAAAAACACGCCAAACUGUUUAUCAUAUAAGGAAAUAUUCCUCAUGGUGUAGGACUAACAAGAUUAUUACUCUGCUGUGGGAAGAAGCUAACCAAGUAAUGAAAGAAGUUCAAGCUGACCAACAAUGGAAGACAAUACCACCUGCUUUGUUCAGAAUUGCAAAAUUGACAGUGAUUGUUUCAGUCUUGCUUGGUCUCUGGUGCACACACUAAUGAUAACCUUUUAGCUGGCCAGUGGACACAUUGUGAUGGAUGUCAUUCUGAAAUUCUCUGGAUUUUCUUCCCUGGAAUUCGGAUUAUGUUGCUGAACUAUUUAAUUAGAUAUGUUAGAUGAAGGCUACUGCUGUAUAAUCUUUUACUGCUGGAUGCUUUCUGUGUUGUGAUUCAACGUAAUUACUAUCUGAUAGUUGGUGAUGUUUGGUUUUCUAGGCAGUGAAAUGAUGUUGAUUGCUGUUUCUACUCUUGUAAGCUGCUACUAUUUGGGUACUUGUUUUCUGUGUGAAACUCUAGUUGUUUUU